UUUCUCUGUGUUAGUGUAGGUAUUUGGGCUCAAACUUGAUUGAGAGCACAACAGUGAGAGCAGUGUGAUGCUGCCAUCUGCUGGUCAAGGGAAAUUGUCAUUUUCUGAAGUCUCACAGCUCGAAAAUAAAAAUGGUGUACGAAGUCUCAGAUUCCAGUAGGUGGCGGUAAUGUACCUUUAGUGGUUUGCCAACCGCCAUUAAAACAAAAAGAAGAAGAAGAAGAAGAAGUCACUGAAACUCAUUAUGGAUCAGUUGGUCUGCGCGCUGCACGGGGGAGACUUACUCAUUACAUGCACUGUGCACGCUACCGUCUAGUGUGUGGAUUUUAGAAAGGUACUAUCAGACGGAGGCGAAAACGUCACAUGACUGAGGAAGAAAGUCCUCUAAGGCUUAAUACAGACAGCUGGGACCAAUCAUGACGCACCCUCGAACAUCGACCAAUACCCGAGCUGGAAGUGAACAAAACCAAAACAAAAGGCGUGUGUCCAUAGGAAACAGUCUUAGCGUCCAUGCGCUCUUCGAGCACGUGCACGUUGUCUCCACAGUGACCUCUUCCGGCGAGAUCGUGACACCUACGAUUCUGCUUAAAGUACCAUGACAGAAACAUGUGUGAUUAAGUGAACAAAUUAAUAUGACACAUAAAAAUUAAACAUUUUAAAGUAAAAUUUUUUGGUGUGGUUAUACAAUGCGGGUAUGUAGUCAUGUCAACGGAAAUUGAGUUAUCAGUGUCCCAAUGUGUAGUGAGCUGGGGUCCUUUCCAGUACCCCAACUUGUGUACACUAUAUACGGAUACACAACAUACGGAGAUAUGGAAUGCAUGUAACAGCGUUACGUAAUCAGGAUACAAAAAAAACCUGUUAACUGUAAUCUGUUACAGUUACGUCAAAAAACUAAAUUACUCGGAUUAUUGGUACAUUUAGUAAAAAAUGGGAAUGCUAUCAGGAUUCAUUUUCUUUUCAUUUAAAACCAAAGAAAUUAAUCUUUUGACAUAACAGAAUAUAGACAGCUGCUUGAUUAUAGUUCUGGUUAUCUCUUGCCAGUCGUGGCUCACAUGAGCAACCUCCUGGUGCAUGCGCAAAUAAAUUUGAAAUCCUGAAAAGGAUAAGCGGUAUGGAAGAUGGAUGGAUGGAUGGAUGGAUGUUCUCUGAAAUGCUUUUGUUAGGCUGACCUUAC